rnacentral:tRNA from 1 species
CAGCAUAUAGUUUAAUUAAAAUUUAGGCUUUGGGAGUUUAUGAUGUGUUGAUUUUCACUUUGCUGA